GGAGGGUGCAAGCGUUAAUCGGAAUUACUGGGCGUAAAGCGCACGCAGGCGGUUGGAUAAGUUAGAUGUGAAAGCCCCGGGCUCAACCUGGGAAUUGCGGUUGAAACUGGCGAACUAGAAUCUGGCAGAGGGGGGUGGAAUUCCACGUGUAGCAGUGAAAUGCGUAGAGAUGUGGAGGAACACCGAUGGCGAAGGCAGCCCCCUGGGCUGAGAUUGACGCUCAGGCACGAAAGCGUGGGGAGCAAACAGGAUUAGAUACCCUGGUAGUCCACGCCCUAAACGAUGUCAACUAGGUGUUGGGGGAGCAAUCUCUUGGUACCGCAGCUAACGCGUGAAGUUGACCGCCUGGGGAGUACGGUCGCAAGAUUA
rnacentral:rRNA from 1 species